CGAAUUGCGAUAUGUAAUGUGAAUUGCAGAAUUCAGUGAAUCAUCGGAUCUUUGAACGCAUCUUGCA
rnacentral:rRNA from 1 species